ensembl:lncRNA
GUAAUACAGCUUGUGUGUUCGAUUCUGCUUCCUAGAGGCUAUGUGGGGGCAACGAGAGAGGGAGUUUUGAAGUCCAUGAUGAGACAGAGCGGGACUCGGGGAGUAAGGUCUCGCUGCAGCCUGCAGGACAUGGACAUCCAACGUCCAAGUGCUGUCCCGUGACGACAAGAUGGCGGACGCGUGAUGUGGCAGUGUAAGGGGUGUUCCGUUGCAGUAGCUAAUAAAUGCAGAAUUUAAGCGCAUUACCACCAUGCCCCUGCAAUCCAGAUUUCGGUCACAGCUGGAUGUACGAUCUGACAAACUUCUAAAGCUGUUCGAAAAACGAGGAGGACAGAUAGGCAAGCGUCUUGAGAGAACUUUGGCCCCCAUGACUCAAGACGAUGACGUUGAUGCAGGGCGGGAAUGUGUUCUCAAGUGGCUGUGUGUGUACCUCAACGAAGGCCCAGCAAAUCUUGUCAGGGAGUUUGUGGCAGAGAACGAAGCUGUCAUCAAAAUCGAUUGAGGACACCACGUGGGAAUAUUUGUCGUGAAAAAUGAUGCAACCAGUGGUCCAGAGGACGUGGGGAUUGUCCUGGAAGGCCUGCAGAUAAUGCAAGGACUGGACAACACUGCAUUAGCUGCUGCCAUAUUGUUUGGCCUAAUGUAUGUAUUGAACCUCAACUACCCUCCUGAGCUAAAGUACACGUUUGAAGUGCGCCAAAAAGUUGUGAUGGAGCUGGACGGCACCACGCGCUCAAAGAAAGCCCAAGUUCUCAAAAACAGACUGAGUGAGCUGUUGUCCUUGGAUCUUUUUGCUCAUCGACUUGAUUCUGGACUGUUCACAUGCAACUUUGCUGUUCUUUGUUCUUGCAGUAUUUACAUACAGCAUGUCUACUGUAUUAUCAAAUGAAUGUUUUUUUCUGGAGCUCAUGCGUUCCCAAAAUGUGACUCGGAUUUGCUGUUUUCUCUUAAAGUAAUAGAGCUGCUGAAUGAGCUGUUG